AUGUUCUCCAUAUCUCUACUGCUGCUGCUGCUGCUGGCUGCUGUGAGCUGUGUUCACAGUGUUGAGCUGAUCCAGCCUGGAUCCAUGGUCAUAAAUCCUGGUCAGUCGAUGUCACUGACCUGUAAAGUUUCUGGAUAUUCACUGACUGAUAGCGGCUACUGUACAGACUGGAUACGGCAGCCUGCAGGAAAAACUUUCGAGUGGAUUGGAGAGAUAUGUGGAGAUGGUAACACUUACUACAGUGAUAAACUGAAAAGCAGGUUUCAAGUUUCCAGAGACUCGUCCAGCAGCACAGUGACCUUAAGAGGACAGAAUCUGCAGACUGGAGACACGGCUGUGUAUUACUGCGCUCGUAACCACAGUGAGACACAUCAACAGACACCCUGUACAAAAACAUCCCCCCUGGAACAGAUCUCUGCUGUACAGAGUUUGCCCAGCAUUAAUAUGUGCAAAGAACAAAAUGAACAUUAGCUGCUUAUCUGUUGACACUGUUGAGAGAGAACAGAGUUCUCCAAGAACUUUGCAAUAUGAUAAAGCAGAUUGACUAGACCUCAAGUUGAGUAUUCUGAAGAGGAGUUUGAAUAUACUACAAGCUGAAGCCUUUGUACCACGACAGUUGAGUUUCACUAGGAACUUUGCACCAUGAUAGCGGAGUUUGACUAGGCUCUUUCUCUGUCUGCUAGCUUGGGAACUCUAUGUAUGUGCUCAUACAUGUUUUGUUUGCUGUUAUUUUCCAUUAUAUGGUGUUUGGCAGACGCUCUUAUCCAGAGCGACUUACAAUUGUAGCUUUUCACGGGUAGGUGAAAGUAGUGUUGGGAGUCUUGCCCAAGGACUCUCAUUAGUAUAAUGUAAGGUGCUUGCUCUGGCAGAGGAUCGAACCCUAUUCCACAGUAUGGAUGGCAGAGGUGGUAUCCACUAC